CCCAGACCCUGACCCACCACAUCCAAAGAGCAACAUCAGCUAGUCCCAAACCAGGGCUGCUGGGUUUGGGGAACGGCUGCCUCAUCACACACCUCAACACAGUGGCUGGCCCCCAGGCAUCAGACAGUGCACAGACUCAUUACCAUUGUGACUAUGAAGCCACAGUGACAUGGCUUUGAAAUCUAAAUGAAAGAAACACAACAGAGACCCCCUUCCCUAUGGCUCAGCCUGGCACUAGGAUUUAUUGCUUUCAUUUUAAUAGGUUAAUUACUUUGACAGGUAGGUGUUUGAGAGGCUUCCUCCUCAGCACAAAGCAAUCGUGGGGUGACCAGCCUUCCCCAGGCAAGCUCUCAGUGAGUGCAGUGGGAGGUGGAGCCAGGCCGGCCUUAAUUACCUGAUUGGGGUGGUUGUGGGUUGCACUAAUAUCUCAGUGAUGUUCCUCUCGGAGCAGAGUGCUUUGUUGGGGUUGUGAAAAUCCAGAUCUUCGCAUGGGCAGCCAGACUGGAUUUAUAGCAAACAACUGAAUUCUGUGUCUCCUGCUACCAUUAGCAUUUCCCACCUUGUUCUUCAUAGGUGGCGUUGAUCUGCCUUGAUGGACGGGCAGCACCUGGAAGGCAGGGCUGUGCUGAUUGAUGCCGGGGGCCCACUCCUAUUCAUUCGUUCAACUGGCACCAAGUCAGUGCCUCACUCCACAGACCCAUCAGUGAGAUCUUCAGGAGGGGUAGAAGGUCUAGACUUCAGGCUUCCCAGCCCACCCUGCUCAGCACCCCUGGCUUCAUUCACACUGCUGCAGGAAUGGCCACCCCAAAACACGAGUCACAAUAUGUCACUCUCUUCCUCAAAAGUGAUUUCCAUACAUCAUCACUUCUGCAAGACGUGAUCAUAUGGCCUCGGUUCUAAGUCACCACCAAUUGUCAGAGGGCCUUCGAUUAAACAACCAGCUUUCAGGGAGUUUAAAGAAGCUCUACAUUACAUGUGUCUAUCAAUUGUACGACUACCCUAUUUCAUAAAUAUGGAAAUAUCCAUCUUACAACUGUGGCUGUUGUGAGGGGGAGAAAGGAGGUUUUAUGGUCAACUGCAUCUGGUAAGUGCUUAGUUAACCUAAGAGUCUUCCAGUGCAGGACUUGUCAGACCCUUGGGAUGAUCACAUGCACUGUGCCUCCAUCAGAGGAGUUUACGGGACUCGUCUGUUUUCAGGUUUGUUUAACCCCUCAUCCACUUGAUCUUUUCCUUUGGCAGAGCAUCUUGCAGGACUGGUGUUCCCAAAACUGCACUUUGAAAAAUGCUGGUUGCUGGGCGCAGUGGCUCAAGCCUGUAAUUCCAGCACUUUGGGAGGCCGAGACGGGCGGAUCACGAGGUCAGGAGAUCGAGACCAUCCUGGCUAAAACGGUGAAACCCCGUCUCUACCAAAAAUAAAAAAAAAAAAAAUAGCCGGGCGACGUGGCAGGCGCCUGUAGUCCCAGCUACUUGGGAGGCUGAGGCAGGAGAAUGGCGUAAACCCAGGAGGCGGAGCUUGCAGUGAGCUGAGAUCCGGCCACUGCACUCCAGCCUGGGCGGCAGAGCGAGACUCCGUCUCAAAAAAAAAAAAAGAAAAGAAAAGAAAAAUGCUGGUUUACAGACUGAAUAUCAAACAUCUCAGCCAGACCUUCAAGGCUCCCCACCUUCCCUAACCAAGCCUCUGCUUUAGGGUUCUCAUACUUCCUCAGCUGCACACUGCCUGUUCAGGCCCUGAAUUUCUGCUCCUGGUAUAAUAUCAGGAUUGCCCAACCCAACCUUAUCCUCACCUAUUCUUCACUCCAUCCAUCAAAAAAAUACUGGCCGGGUGCGGUGGCUCACACCUGUGAUCCUAGCACUUUGGGAGACCAAAGUGGGACGAUCACUCGAGGUCACAAGUUAGAGACCAGCCUGGCCAAUAUGGUAAAACCCCAUCUCUACUAAAAAUAUAAAAACUAGCUGGGCUUGGGGGUGCACACCUGUAGUCCCAGCUACUAGGGAGGCUGAGGUGGAAGGAUCACUUGAGCCCAGGAGGGGGAGGUUGCAGUGAGCCAAGAUUGUGCCACUGCACUCCAAGUGAAACUCGGUCUCAAAAACAAAAAACAAAAACCUAUCGAGCCUCUAUAAUGCGCCAGGAACUCUUCCAGGCAUAAGUGACAGAGUAGUGAACAAGAUCAGCCCGGCUCAGGCCUCAGGGACUAUAUACGCCAGUGGAAGAGGCAACAUUCAC
rnacentral:lncRNA from 1 species